CAUGUGGAUUUAAAAGCAACCGAGUUUUCUUGCAAUUCGGACGGGUCAAGUGAAUAAUUAAUUACGAAUUUAGCAUUUAGUUUCAACCCAAUCAAUAUACAUCUUGCUUUACCGAUUGCAAACGACAUCAAUUCCACUCCCGCGUUUUUUUUGCCAAGUUGAAACAGAGGCAGUGCGCAGACAAAGGUGACUGGAUUGAAGAGCGACAGAAAAAGUAGAGGCGAUUACGAAAAGUUUCCCCACACGCCACUGCACACCCCGCCCAUAACCUCUGACGAACAUCUACGCGAAAUAGAAAGCAAAAAGCGCAAUUAUGACUUCCGAUAUUACCAGGCAAUUGAUUGCUAUAUUGGAGAAGACGGUUUCGCCAGACAAAAAUGAACUUCUGUCGGCAAAGAACUUCUUGGAGCAGGCAGCCGAGUCGAACUUGCCAGAGUUCCUCAAGGCGCUGUCCGAAAUACUUGUCAACACGACCAACAGCGCCGUGGCACGUAUGGCAGCUGGUCUGCAAUUGAAGAACCACUUGACAAGCAAGGACGAGAAGAUCAGCCUGCAAUAUCAACAACGGUGGAACCAAUUUCCCGAAGAGACACGCGAGCUAAUCAAAAAUAAUAUACUCGUGGCUUUGGGCACUGAAAAUACGAGACCUUCUUGCGCUGCCCAAUGCGUCGCCUAUGUUGCCGUCAUAGAGUUGCCAAUUAACAGAUGGAACAUACUGAUACAGACGCUGGUCAGCAAAGUCGUGAACGAAGGCUCGAGCGAAAUGCACCGUGAGGCGGCGCUAGAGGCCAUCGGAUACAUUUGUCAAGAUAUAAGGUACGGCGUUCUCGAGAAUCAAUCGAACCAGGUCCUUACGGCCAUCAUUCAUGGCAUGCGAAAGCUGGAGCCGAGUAACCAUGUGCGGUUGGCCGCCACCACAGCUCUGCAUAAUUCGCUAGAGUUCACCAAAGCAAACUUUGAAAAGGACAUGGAGCGAAAUUUCAUUAUGGAGGUUGUUUGCGAGGCCACACAAUGUACGGACACGCAAAUUUGCGUUGCCGCAUUGCAGUGCCUGGUUAAGAUUAUGACCCUGUAUUAUCAGUUCAUGGAACCAUACAUGGCCCAAGCUCUGUUUCCUAUAACACUGGAAGCUAUGAAAUCCGAUAAUGAUGCCGUAGCUCUGCAGGGCAUUGAGUUCUGGUCGAACGUUAGCGACGAGGAAAUCGAUCUGGCUAUUGAAAGUCAGGAGGCUACGGAUCAAGGUCGUCCACCGCACCGUGUUUCAAAGCAUUAUGCACGUGGUGCUCUACAAUUUUUAACACCUGUGCUGGUGGAGAAAUUGACAAACCAGGAUGAGUGCGAUGAUGAGGACACUUGGAGUCCUGCCAAAGCCUCUUCGGUGUGCCUCAUGCUGUUGGCCACCUGUUGCGAAGAUGAGAUUGUACCGCAUGUCUUGCCAUUUAUCAAGGAGAAUAUUGAAUCGCCCAACUGGAGGUAUCGUGAUGCCGCCGUCAUGACAUUCGGUUCGGUGCUUAAUGGACUGGAAACAAACACGCUCAAACCCUUGGUGGAGCAGGCUAUGCCAACACUAAUUCGUUUGAUGUACGAUUCGAGCGUCAUAGUGCGCGACACAACCGCUUGGACAUUCGGACGUAUAUGCGAUAUUAUACCAGAAGCAGCCAUCAAUAAGACAUAUCUGCAGACGCUUCUAGAGUGCUUUGUCAAGAGUCUAAAAUCAGAGCCACGUGUGGCUGCCAAUGUUUGUUGGGCAUUCAUUGGCCUCUCUGAUGCUGCCUAUGAGGCUGCUGUAACCAACGAAGGCGAAACUCCGGAAACUUAUGCGCUAUCGCCGUACUUUGAAUUUAUUAUUACUCAACUGCUGGAGACCACCGAUCGCUCAGAUGGCGCUCAAGCCAAUUUGCGCAGUGCCGCCUACGAGGCGCUGAUGGACAUGAUCAAGAACUCGCCUCUGGAUUGCUAUCUUGUCGUGCAGCGCACUACAAUUGUCAUCUUGGAGCGCUUGAAUCAGGUGAUGCAAAUGGAAACGCACAUCAAUAACCACAGCGAUCGCCAUCAGUUCAAUGAUCUGCAAUCUCUGCUUUGUGCUACAUUGCAAAGCGUGCUGCGCAAGGUACGCGAAGAGGAUGCUCCUCAGAUCUCGGACGCCAUCAUGACCGCUUUGCUAACUAUGUUCAACUCGAGCGCUGGCAAAUCUGGUGGUGUACAAGAGGAUGCGUUCUUAGCCGUAUCGACACUGGUAGAGCUCCUCGGAAUCGGAUUCGCCAAAUACAUGCCCGCUUUUAAGGAUUACCUCAUCAUGGGUUUGAAAAAUCAUCAAGAGUACCAAGUUUGCUGUGCAGCUGUCGGCCUAACAGGCGAUAUUUGUCGCGCGUUGAAAUAUUUGGUCGUGCCCUACUGCGAUGAGAUCAUGUCUGUAAUGAUGAGCGAUUUGGCCGAGCCGACAUUGCACCGGAAUGUCAAGCCGCAGAUACUGUCAGCCUUCGGCGACAUGGCAUUGAGCAUUGGCACGGAGUUCGUCAAAUAUUUAAAUUUGGUCUUGGAAAUGCUACGGGCUGCUUCGCAACUUCAGGUCGACCCGUCCAGCUAUGACAUGAGUGAAUACAUAAAUGAGUUGCGGGAGAGCGUUCUCGAGGCCUACACUGGCAUUAUACAAGGCCUGAAGGGUGUAGAUCAAACGCCAAAUGAAGCAGUCUUGCUUAUGGAGUCGCAUCUUAUGCACAUUAUUAGCUUCAUCAAGCGCAUCGCCCAGGAGGGUGACGUUUCUGAUUCAAUGAUGGCUAGUGCAGCCGGCUUUAUUGGUGAUUUGUGCACUUCCUUUGGUCCUCGCCUCUAUCCUCUGCUAGACGAUACGGUCAUCACACAGUUCUUAGCCGAGGGCAAACGAUCAAAGGGACAACGUACUAAGAUGUUGUGUACCUGGGCUGCCAAAGAGAUCAAGAAAAUGAACAGCCAGGUCAUUACUCAGUAAAUUGAAAUUGGGUAGAAGAUGCCGUUCGAUGUGAGAAGCCAAAAUGAGACUAAGAUACAACAUUGUAAUUGCAAAGUUCUGAAGAAUGCUAAGAUCGAGGCCAAUGUAUGCUUGAGUGUGUGAUGUGAUGUGGUCUAUUCGAUGCCGCUUUUUAUUUGGAUUGGUUGGAUAUUCAAGCUUCUGACUAGACAUGACAAAUAAUUAUCGAGAUGUAUGUAUGAAUGAUAUAUUUGAUUUUAGAAAUUAUUGUGAACGUGUAUACCCAAGUAUUAUGAAAACUGUGUGCUUGAUUGAUGCCUUGACUGACUGACUGCCCGAUGAGUGUGUGAACUGAAACUCAAAUUUUCUUGUGAUUGAAGACUUGUAAAUACCCGAUAAUAUUUGAAAUUUCAUUUGCGCGCGUGUGUUGCGUGUUGUGUGAUAUUACCAAAUGUAAGCUUUUUCUAGUGAUGAAAUGCAAGUGAAUACAAAACGAAUGAAAUAUAGUUAUAAGUAACAAAACACUAGAGAAAAUGAAUAAUACAAAUGGAAUCGAAAUAGAUAAAAUGUUCAAGCAGUAAAAUCCAAAAAGGAAAAAGAUUUUAAACGGACUUAAAUUUAAAUAAAAUUAUAAACGAACGAAAAUAUUUAAAAACAACUUUGUGCACGACGGGAAUAGAGUUGAAAAUCAAGCACAUGACUGCAUAUACAAUACAUAACAUUAAAAAAUAAAACGAAUUAACGUAAAACAAAAUGACUUAGGGACGUACAAAGCGUGGACGUGCAUAAGUGUGGGCGUGCCAGUAAAACCAAAAGUUUACCAAUAGAUCCCAAAUACUUACCGUUUAUAUUACAAGAGAACCAACGAUAUACCGCAGAAACAUAUAGACCGAAAUCGAUUCCGAUAAUUGCCUUAAGAGUUCUUGUCUUCUUUGCACGCCCAUACAAUGCCCAUGCAAUACAUAUAAACAUAUUUAUUAUACAUUAAAACAACAAAUGACAUUUUAUUUAGCGAUUUAAGACAAGUUUUGUAGUGCCACAUGAAUACAGUGUUUUGUACAGGCGCGCAGAACAAAGAAAUUGAUAAGUUUCUCAUAGAAUUAUUUGAUCGUAUUAAUUCCAAAAAAUGACGCUUAGAAACCAAGCAAGCACUUUUUAUUCAACAUUAAUUUAUAUCAACUACAACAAAAAGCAAUAUGCAACAAAAUGAAUACAACAACCAAUGAACUACCUGCAGCAUAUAUAUACUAUACUGUAUUGUAUAUAUACACAUAUAUAUAGUGAAACAAACACGAAAACUAACGAGAAAACGGACCAGGGUAACACAAACGUACUUUACAUAGGAAUAGAACGCAUAAAGACCUACAUACUUACAUACAUAUACAUAGAUGACGUGCUGGGACUUUUUAGGACAACGCUACACUAGAGACUCUUUUUCUAUUAAACAAUUAAGGACAUACUACAUUGCAGUAUGCAUUGCAUCACGAUUUUGUCACACACACAUAUACUUACAUACAUGUACAUAUGUAUAACCAGAUCUACCUACAUAUUACAUCAUUAAAGACGUGACUACUACUAGCAGGAAGAAACUCUUUAAAUCAACCAAAUUGUAAUUAACCGUUUAAAAUCUUUUCAUUGUUCAUUGUACAUGAAUGCAUAACAACAUUAAAGGCAUAUUUCAGGUUUAUUCGGCAGCCACACCAAAGCUAUGGUCAGACAGGGCAAAUAAUUUGCACACAAAUUAGUCACAAUUACUUUUGAAAUUAAAAGAACUACUCUUAUUUUCUGAACGAUUAUUGUCGAUGACGAAUUAAAUCAAUGGUUAAAAUACAGAUUAUUUGCACACUCAUUUGUCGUAUCUAACUUCAAUUCUGGUUUCUUGAACAUGUACAUUUCAAAUAUGGCAGGAAUUUCUAUGCAAAUUGUUUGCCUUUCUGCUCGUGCGUUUACAAUUCAUCCCGGUGCUGGUAAGUUUUUUCGUACCGCAGAAAUGUAUAGGAGAUAUUCGGAAGGAUUAUUGUGACAAAUUUCAUUUUCCAACUUUAUGAUGCAACUAACAAUCCGGAAUGUUUCGUAUGCGAGGUUAGAAAACUUUUCCAAAACCUGAAAUAUGCUAAGUCUUACACUUAAGUAAUAAGUAAUGUAUGAGUGUAUUGAAUGAAGAGCGAAGUUAAAAUUAAGUUACGUAUUUGAUUUAAAAAAAACAUACCCAAGAAAUGUUAAAGCAGUAGCUAUUUCAUUGUUGUCGAUCUUAAACCACACCACUACACCAUUAGCAAUUAGAGGUUACAAAAAUAUCGCACAGCCGUCCAAAUAUCUAAAUUCAUAAAAACUUAUCCAGUUUAAUCCAUUCAUUUAAAUUAAAACAUAUCAAAACUCUGUGUGCUUUAAAUUGUUUUAAAAUUCAAAUACUUUUUUAAAAUCAAAUGCCUCAACAUUGAAAUCGCUACUGGUUCAUUUUGCUGUCACAUCUUUGAAUAUUUUGAAAC